rnacentral:rRNA from 1 species
GAUGAACGCUGGCGGCGUGCCUAAUACAUGCAAGUCGAACGAAGCGGGGACGGGGGAGUAACACGUCGAUAACCUCCUAUACGACUGGGAUAAAGUCGGGAAACCGGAGUUAAACCGGCUAUUCAUAGAUGGAUCAGCGUUGCACUAGCUAGUCUGUAAGGUAACGGCUUACCAAGGCAACGACGCAUAGCCGACGGGAGAGGGUGAUUGGCCACACUGGAACUGAGACACGGUCCAGACUCCUACGGGAGGCAGCAGUAGGGAAUCUUCCGCAAUGGGCGAAAGCCUGACGGAGCAACGCCGCGUGAGUGAUGAAGGUCUUCGGAUCGUAAAACUCUGUUAUUAGGGAAGCGGUACCUAAUCAGAAAGCCACGGCUAACUACGUGCCAGCAGCCGCGGUAAUAC